GUACACUCCUGCGGGAGGCAGCAGUGGGGAAUUUUGGACAAUGGGCGAAAGCCUGAUCCAGCAAUGCCGCGUGAGUGAAGAAGGCCUUCGGGUUGUAAAGCUCUUUUGUCAGGGAAGAAACGGUGAGAGCUAAUAUCUUUUGCUAAUGACGGUACCUGAAGAAUAAGCACCGGCUAACUACGUGCCAGCAGCCGCGGUAAUACGUAGGGUGCAAGCGUUAAUCGGAAUUACUGGGCGUAAAGCGUGCGCAGGCGGUUUUGUAAGUCUGAUGUGAAAUCCCCGGGCUCAACCUGGGAAUUGCAUUGGAGACUGCAAGGCUAGAAUCUGGCAGAGGGGGGUAGAAUUCCACGUGUAGCAGUGAAAUGCGUAGAUAUGUGGAGGAACACCGAUGGCGAAGGCAGCCCCCUGGGUCAAGAUUGACGCUCAUGCACGAAAGCGUGGGGAGCAAACAGGAUUAGAUACCCCUGUAGUCCCA
rnacentral:rRNA from 1 species